rnacentral:rRNA from 1 species
UAGGGAAUCUUCGGCAAUGGACGAAAGUCUGACCGAGCAACGCCGCGUGAGUGAAGAAGGUUUUCGGAUCGUAAAACUCUGUUGUUAGAGAAGAACAAGGAUGAGAGUAACUGUUCAUCCCUUGACGGUAUCUAACCAGAAAGCCACGGCUAACUACGUGCCCG